ensembl:snRNA U6 U6 spliceosomal RNA
GUGCUCGCCCUCUGGCAGCACACAGACUAAAAUUGUAACAACACAGGAAAGAUUAGCAUGGCCUUUGCGCAAGGAUGACAAAGAAAAUUUAAAAAGACCAUGCAAAAGCUCU